CUACGGGUGGCUGCAGUGAGGAAUAUUGCGCAAUGGGGGAAACCCUGACGCAGCGACGCCGCGUGGAUGAUGAAGGCCUUAGGGUCGUAAAAUCCUGUCAGGUGGGAAGAAGUGGAUAUAGAUUAAUACUCUAUUUCUUUGACGGUACCACCAAAGGAAGCACCGGCUAACUCCGUGCCAGCAGCCGCGGUAAUACGGAGGGUGCAAACGUUGUUCGGAAUUACUGGGCGUAAAGCGCGCGUAGGCGGUUUGUUAAGUCAGAUGUGAAAGUCCAUGGCUCAACGAGGGAAGUGCAUUUGAAACUGGCAGACUUGAGUACUGGAGGGGGUGAUGGAAUUCCCGGUGUAGAGGUGAAAUUCGUAGAUAUCGGGAGGAAUACCGGUGGCGAAGGCGAUCACCUGGCCAGAUACUGACGCUGAGGUGCGAAAGCGUGGGGAGCAAACAGGAUUAGAUACCCCGGUAGUC
rnacentral:rRNA from 1 species